GUUAAAAAGCUCGUAGUUGAAUUUCGAGACCGGCUUACUGGUCGUGCUUUUGUGCGUACUGGUAUAAUCGGUUUCUCCUUUCUGACGAACUUUAAUGCCAUUAAUUUGGUGUUUUAGGGAAUCAGGACUGUUACUUUGAAAAAAUUAGAGUGUUUAAAGCAGGCUCACGCUUGAAUACAUUAGCAUGGAAUAACGGAAUAGGACGUUUGAUUCUAUUUUGUUGGUUUCUAGGAUCGACGUAAUGAUUAAUAGGGAUAGUUGGGGGCAUUAGUAUUCAAUUGUCAGAGGUGAAAUUCUUGGAUUUAUUGAAGACUAACUACUGCGAAAGCAUUUGCCAAGGAUGUUUUCAUUAAUCAAGAACGAAAGUUAGGGGAUCGAAGACGAUCAGAUACCGUCGUAGUCUUAAC
rnacentral:rRNA from 1 species